rnacentral:rRNA from 1 species
CCUACGGGAGGCUGCAGUGAGGAAUAUUGGUCAAUGGGCGCGAGCCUGAACCAGCCAAGCAGCGUGAAGGAUGACUGUCCUACGGGUUGUAAACUUCUUUUAUAAAGGAAUAAAGUGAGGCACGUGUGCCUUUCUGUAUGUACUUUAUGAAUAAGGAUCGGCUAACUCCGUGCCAGCAGCCGCGGUAAUACGGAGGAUCCGAGCGUUAUCCGGAUUUAUUGGGUUUAAAGGGAGCGGAGAUGGGUUGUUAAGUCAGGUGUGAAAGGUUGGGGCUCAACCGUAACAUUGCCAUUAAUACUGGCAGCCUUGAGUACAGUUGAGGUAGGCGGAAUUCGUAGUGUAGCGGUGAAAUGCUUAGAUAUCGCGAAGAACUCCGAUUGCGAAGGCAGCCUACUGGACUGCAACUGACGUUGAUGCACGAAAGUGUGGGUAUCGAACAGGAUUAGAUACCCGUGUAGUC